rnacentral:tRNA from 1 species
AGUUAAUAAGCUAUAAUAGCAUAUGUUUUGAAAACAUAAUACUAGAAGUUCAAAUCUUCUAUUAGCUU